ACGCUCGACACCUACGGAGGCAGCAGUGGGGAAUAUUGCACAAUGGGGGAAACCCUGAUGCAGCGACGCCGCGUGGAGGAAGAAGGUCUUCGGAUUGUAAACUCCUGUUGUUGGGGAAAAAGAGGAUGGUACCCAACAAGGAAGUGACGGCUAACUACGUUCGCANNCGCCGUAGUAUNGNGGCGNGCGAGAG
rnacentral:rRNA from 1 species